UCACUAACUGCAAGGCUAUGGACACUUUAACAUCCAAAUUUGAAAUCCAGUUGGCUGCUUUAGAAGCCGAGAAAUUUAUCUCUGAAGUGAAUGGAAGAGUUCCCACUUUCCUUAAAGCCCAAUGUCAUCACAAGGGUCGUUAUAAGAAGGAGACAGUAGGAUCCAAAUAAGAGAGGAAGAUAUGACAAAAGCAGCGAUUGCAGUGAUACAUGGCCAUAAGACAAGGAAUGUGAGUGGCCUCUAGAGGCUGGAAAAAGCAAGGAAAUGGACUCAUUCCCUAGAGUCUUCAGAACGAACACAGUCCUGGAGACACCUUGAUUUCAGUCCAGUGAUAGAUUUCUGAACUCCAGAGUGUUAAAAUAAUAAACUUGUAUUGUUUAAGCCA